GUCUCAAUAGCUCAGUUGGGAGAGCGUCAGACUGAAGUUCUGAAGGCCGGGUGUUCGAACCACCCUUGGGACA